rnacentral:piRNA from 1 species
UUGGUUGAGUUUGUCUGAAGACCUGGGAUC